CAAUAGCGUAUAUUAAAGUUGUUGCAGUUAAAAAGCUCGUAGUUGGAUUUCUGGUGGGAGUGUUUGGCCGGCUCAAUGAGUCUUGUGCCUAUAUGCUUCUGCCAUCCUUGGGGAAAACUUGCUUGGCAUUAGGUUGUCGAGUUUGGGAUCCCCAUCGUUUACUGUGAAAAAUUAGAGUGUUCAAAGCAGGCUUAUGCCGUUGAAUACAUUAGCAUGGAAUAAUAAGAUAGGACCUUGGUACUAUUUUGUUGGUUUGCGUACCUAGGUAAUGAUUAAUAGGGACAGUUGGGGGUAUUCGUAUUCAAUUGUCAGAGGUGAAAUUCUCGAUUUGUUAAAGACGACUAUGCGAAAGCAUUUGCCAAGGAUGUUUUUCAUUUAGUACUACGAAACGGAAAACGUUAAAGGGGUUAAGGGUACUAAACGGAAAGUACGGAAUUCCAAGGAAUUAACCCCGUACUUCGUAGGAACGUACGUCCGAACCGGAACGGACCAACCAACGGGGAA
rnacentral:rRNA from 1 species